rnacentral:rRNA from 1 species
GGGACACGUGGUAUCCUGUCUGAAUAUGGGGGGACCAUCCUCCAAGGCUAAAUACUCCUGACUGACCGAUAGUGAACCAGUACCGUGAGGGAAAGGCGAAAAGAACCCCGGCGAGGGGAGUGAAAAAGAACCUGAAACCGUGUACGUACAAGCAGUGGGAGCCUCUUAAUGGGGUGACUGCGUACCUUUUGUAUAAUGGGUCAGCGACUUAUAUUCUGUAGCAAGGUUAACCGAAUAGGGGAGCCGAAGGGAAACCGAGUCUUAACUGGGCGUUAAGUUGCAGGGUAUAGACCCGAAACCCGGUGAUCUAGCCAUGGGCAGGUUGAAGGUUGGGUAACACUAACUGGAGGACCGAACCGACUAAUGUUGAAAAAUUAGCGGAUGACUUGUGGCUGGGGGUGAAAGGCCAAUCAAACCGGGAGAUAGCUGGUUCUCCCCGAAAGCUAUUUAGGUAGCGCCUCGUGAAUUCAUCUCCGGGGGUAGAGCACUGUUUCGGCAAGGGGGUCAUCCCGACUUACCAACCCGAUGCAAACUGCGAAUACCGGAGAAUGUUAUCACGGGAGACACACGGCGGGUGCUAACGUCCGUCGUGAAGAGGGAAACAACCCAGACCGCCAGCUAAGGUCCCAAAGUCAUGGUUAAGUGGGAAACGAUGUGGGAAGGCCCAGACAGCCAGGAUGUUGGCUUAGAAGCAGCCAUCAUUUAAAGAAAGCGUAAUAGCUCACUGGUCGAGUCGGCCUGCGCGGAAGAUGUAACGGGGCUAAACCAUGCACCGAAGCUGCGGCAGCGACGCUUAUGCGUUGUUGGGUAGGGGAGCGUUCUGUAAGCCUGUGAAGGUGUGCUGUGAGGCAUGCUGGAGGUAUCAGAAGUGCGAAUGCUGACAUAAGUAACGAUAAAGCGGGUGAAAAGCCCGCUCGCCGGAAGACCAAGGGUUCCUGUCCAACGUUAAUCGGGGCAGGGUGAGUCGACCCCUAAGGCGAGGCCGAAAGGCGUAGUCGAUGGGAAACAGGUUAAUAUUCCUGUACUUGGUGUUACUGCGAAGGGGGGACGGAGAAGGCUAUGUUGGCCGGGCGACGGUUGUCCCGGUUUAAGCGUGUAGGCUGGUUUUCCAGGCAAAUCCGGAAAACCAAGGCUGAGGCGUGAUGACGAGGCACUACGGUGCUGAAGCGACAAAUGCCCUGCUUCCAGGAAAAGCCUCUAAGCAUCAGGUAACAUCAAAUCGUACCCCAAACCGACACAGGUGGUCAGGUAGAGAAUACCAAGGCGCUUGAGAGAACUCGGGUGAAGGAACUAGGCAAAAUGGUGCCGUAACUUCGGGAGAAGGCACGCUGAUAUGUAGGUGAAGCGACUUGCUCGUGGAGCUGAAAUCAGUCGAAGAUACCAGCUGGCUGCAACUGUUUAUUAAAAACACAGCACUGUGCAAACACGAAAGUGGACGUAUACGGUGUGACGCCUGCCCGGUGCCGGAAGGUUAAUUGAUGGGGUUAGCGGCAACGCGAAGCUCUUGAUCGAAGCCCCGGUAAACGGCGGCCGUAACUAUAACGGUCCUAAGGUAGCGAAAUUCCUUGUCGGGUAAGUUCCGACCUGCACGAAUGGCGUAAUGAUGGCCAGGCUGUCUCCACCCGAGACUCAGUGAAAUUGAACUCGCUGUGAAGAUGCAGUGUACCCGCGGCAAGACGGAAAGACCCCGUGAACCUUUACUAUAGCUUGACACUGAACAUUGAGCCUUGAUGUGUAGGAUAGGUGGGAGGCUUUGAAGUGUGGACGCCAGUCUGCAUGGAGCCGACCUUGAAAUACCACCCUUUAAUGUUUGAUGUUCUAACGUUGGCCCCUAAUCGGGGUUGCGGACAGUGUCUGGUGGGUAGUUUGACUGGGGCGGUCUCCUCCUAAAGAGUAACGGAGGAGCACGAAGGUUGGCUAAUCCUGGUCGGACAUCAGGAGGUUAGUGCAAUGGCAUAAGCCAGCUUGACUGCGAGCGUGACGGCGCGAGCAGGUGCGAAAGCAGGUCAUAGUGAUCCGGUGGUUCUGAAUGGAAGGGCCAUCGCUCAACGGAUAAAAGGUACUCCGGGGAUAACAGGCUGAUACCGCCCAAGAGUUCAUAUCGACGGCGGUGUUUGGCACCUCGAUGUCGGCUCAUCACAUCCUGGGGCUGAAGUAGGUCCCAAGGGUAUGGCUGUUCGCCAUUUAAAGUGGUACGCGAGCUGGGUUUAGAACGUCGUGAGACAGUUCGGUCCCUAUCUGCCGUGGGCGCUGGAGAACUGAGGGGGGCUGCUCCUAGUACGAGAGGACCGGAGUGGACGCAUCACUGGUGUUCGGGUUGUCAUGCCAAUGGCACUGCCCGGUAGCUAAAUGCGGAAGAGAUAAGUGCUGAAAGCAUCUAAGCACGAAACUUGCCCCGAGAUGAGUUCUCCCUGAGACUUAGAGUCUCCUGAAGGAACGUUGAAGACGACGACGUUGAUAGGCCGGGUGUGUAAGCGCAGCGAUGCGUUGAGCUAACCGGUACUAAUGAACCGUGAGGCUUAACCUU